AGUGAACGCUGGCGGUAGGCCUAACACAUGCAAGUCGAACGGCAGCACAGUAAGAGCUUGCUCUUACGGGUGGCGAGUGGCGGACGGGUGAGGAAUACAUCGGAAUCUACUUUUUCGUGGGGGAUAACGUAGGGAAACUUACGCUAAUACCGCAUACGACCUACGGGUGAAAGCAGGGGAUCUUCGGACCUUGCGCGAUUGAAUGAGCCGAUGCCGGAUUAGCUAGUUGGCGGGGUAAAGGCCCACCAAGGCGACGAUCCGUAGCUGGUCUGAGAGGAUGAUCAGCCACACUGGAACUGGGACACGGUCCAGACUCCUACGGGAGGCAGCAGUGGGGAAUAUUGGACAAUGGGCGCAAGCCUGAUCCAGCCAUACCGCGUGGGUGAAGAAGGCCUUCGGGUUGUAAAGCCCUUUUGUUGGGAAAGAAAAGCAGCAGGUUAAUACCCCGCUGUUCUGACGGUACCCAAAGAAUAAGCACCGGCUAACUUCGUG
rnacentral:rRNA from 1 species